rnacentral:rRNA from 1 species
UAGGGAAUCUUCCACAAUGGACGCAAGUCUGAUGGAGCAACGCCGCGUGAGUGAAGAAGGUUUUCGGACCGUAAAGCUCUGUUGUUGGUGAAGAAGGAUAGAGGUAGUAACUGGCCUUUAUUUGACGGUAAUCAACUAGAAAGUCACGGCUAACUACGUGCCAGCAGCCGCGGUAAUACGUAGGUGGCAAGCGUUGUCCGGAUUUAUUGGGCGUAAAGCGAGCGCAGGCGGAAGAAUAAGUCUGAUGUGAAAGCCCUCGGCUUAACCGAGGAAUUGCAUCGGAAACUGUUUUCUUGAGUGCAGAAGAGGAGAGUAGAACUCCAUGUGUAGCGGUGGAAUGCGUAGAUAUAUGGAAGAAUACCAGUGGCGAAGGCGGCUCUCUGGUCUGCAACUGACGCUGAGGCUCGAAAGCAUGGGUAGCGAACAGGAUUAGAUACCCUGGUAGUCCAUGCCGUAAACGAUGAGUGCUAAGUGUUGGGAGGCUUCCGCCUCUCAGUGCUGCAGCUAACGCAUUAAGCACUCCGCCUGGGGGAGUACGACCGCAAGGUUGAAAC